AUGGCUACCCUCCACAUGUUCCUCGGCCUCCUCCUCCUCUCCAUGCACACCAUUCCUCCUAGCAUAGCCACAAAAGACGAUACUCUCGCGCCAGGCCAGCCAUUUGCCGUCGGCGACAAGCUCGUCUCCAGCAACGGCAAGUUCGCGCUUGGCUUCUUCCAGCCCAGUGCCGGCAACACCAGCAAGUCAUCCACCUCUCCACAUUGGUACCUUGCCAUAUGGUUCAACAAGAUCCAUGUCAUCACUCCCGUUUGGGUCGCCAACCGGGAGACGCCAAUCGCCGGACCCGAUCUGAGAGCAACGCAGCUUCAAGUCUCAGAAGAUGGCAACCUUGUCGUUUUAAACAACGCCACCCAAUCCGUUGUCUGGUCCACCAACAUCACCAAUACAAGAACCAACACCAACAUCUCCAAUGCUAGAACCAACACCAGCAACACGAGGGCCAUCCUCUUGGGCAGUGGGAACCUCGUCAUAGAAAGCCUGUCAAGCGAGGUGCUGUGGCAGAGCUUCGACGACCCAACCGACGUCCUGCUCCCAGGCGCCAAGAUCGGCUGGAACAAGGUCACCGGCCUGAACCGUCUCGGCAUCUCGUGGAAGAGCCGGAUUGAUCCGGGCCUCGGCUCCUUCAGCGUGGGGCUGGUAACCAAUGGCACCAGGAUGGUGACGGCCAGGCGUCGAGGCUACCCUUCCGAAGUGUACUGGUGGUGGUCGCCUGACGACCACUCGUCGAUGCAGAUCCCAGCAAUCACGAAGCUGCUGCAAAUGAGCCCACAGACCAGCAUGGUCGUCCCAGAAUACGUCAACAACAGGGAGGAGGAGUACUACAUGUACACCUCACCAGAUGAGAUCUCUUCGUUCCUCUUCAUGGACGUGUUUGGUCAGGCCAGGCUGAACGUGUGGUCGCAAGACAACCAGGCAUGGCAUAGCAUCUACGUCAACCCAGCCGAUCCCUGCACCCCAUACGCCGCCUGCGGACCGUUCACCGUCUGCACCGGCAGCUCGCACCCGCCAUGCGAGUGCGUGGAGAGCUUCUCCAGAACGUCGCCUCAGGAUUGGGAGCUCGGUGACCGGACAGGAGGGUGCUCCAGAAACACUCCGCUGGAUUGCAAUGGCAACAGGAGUUCCACAGACGUGUUCCACCCCAUAGCUCGUGUGGCAUUGCCCUAUGGUCCCCAGAGUUUACAGCAUGCUCCUGCAAAUCGGAGCGAAUGCGAAUGGGCCUGCCUCACCAACUGCUCCUGCACUGCUUACUCCUACCAUGACAGCAAAUGCUCUGUUUGGCAAGGGGAGUUGUUCAGUGUAAACAAGGAUGAUGGCAUCGAGAUCAGCUCUGAAUAUACUCUGUAUAUUCGCCUUGCUGCCGGAGAUGUUCCGAGUUCAACAAGAGAUGGUAAAAGAAAACCAGCAGCUGGAGCUGUUAUUGCUGCAAGCGUUAUCAGUUUUGGGUUGCUGAUGCUCAUGCUGCUACUGGUGAUCUUAAGGAACAGAUUCAACUGGUGUGGUAUGUCAUCACAGGACACCAAUCAAGGUAGUGUUGGAGUUGUUGCCUUUAGAUACGCCGAUUUGGGCCGUGCUACAAAGAAUUUCUCAGUGAAGCUAGGAGCAGGAGGUUUUGGGACUGUAUUUAAGGGAGUUCUAAGUGACCUGACUAGUGUAGCAGUGAAAAGGCUUGAAGGUGCGCGUCAGGGAGAGAAGCAAUUCAGGGCAGAGGUAAGUGCACUUGGACUGAUCCAGCACAUCAACCUGGUCAAAUUGGUUGGUUUCUGUUGUCAUGGUGAUAAGAGGCUACUUGUAUAUGAACACAUGUGCAAUGGUUCUCUUGAUUCCCAUCUGUUCCAAAGCAAUGGUAUAGUCCUCAACUGGAGCACCAGAUAUCAGAUAGCCAUCGGAGUUGCUAGAGGAUUGUCCUACCUGCAUCAGAGUUGCCGCGAAUGCAUCAUACACUGCGAUAUCAAGCCAGAAAAUGUACUUCUCGAUGAAUCGUUUGUCCCUAAAAUUGCAGACUUUGGGUUGGCAUCGGUCAUAGGAAGGGAUUUUAGCCGGGUUCUAACUACAUUCAGGGGAACUACAGGGUAUCUUGCCCCAGAGUGGCUUAGCGGGGUUGCUAUUACAUCAAAAGUCGAUGUUUACAGCUUUGGCAUGGUACUGAUAGAAAUCAUAUCGGGAAGAAGGAAUGCGUCUGUUGUGAACACUAGCAGCAACGACCAUGUCACUUUUUUCCCUGUGCAAGCCAUCAACAAGCUUCAUGAGGGAGAUGUGCAGAGCUUGGUAGAUCCAGAAUUACAUGGUGACUUUAACUUGGAUGAGGUUGAAAGAGUUUGCAAUGUAGCAUGUUGGUGUAUCCAGGAUAAUGAGCUGGAGCGGCCAACAAUGGGUGAAGUGGUCAGAGUUCUUGAGGGUCUAAUGGAGCUUGAUAUGCCUCCGAUGCCAAGACUGCUUGCGGCUAUAACAACAUAA
rnacentral:rRNA from 1 species